GGACCUGACUGCUAUCGGAUUGAUACUAAGCCAUGCGAGUCAUUGUAGUAAUACAAGGCAGACGGCUCAGUAACGCGUAGUCAACCUACCCUAUGGACGGGAAUAGCCUCGGGAAACUGAGAAUAAUGCCCGAUAGAACAUUAUACCUGGAAUGGUUUAUGUUCCAAAUGAUUUAUCGCCGUAGGAUGGGACUGCGGCCUAUCAGUUUGUUGGUGAGGUAAUGGCCCACCAAGACUAUUACAGGUACGGGCUCUGAGAGGAGUGGCCCGGAGAUGGGUACUGAGACACGGACCCAGGCCCUAUGGGGCGCAGCAGGCGAGAAAACUUUGCAAUGUGCGAAAGCACGACAAGGUUAAUCCGAGUGGUUUCUGCUAAAGAGACCUUUUGUCGGUCCUAGAAACACCGAUGAAUAAGGGGUGGGCAAGUUCUGGUGU
rnacentral:rRNA from 1 species